AAGAGAAAGUCUCUGGCCAGCACACUUGCACUUUGGCCAGGCUGGCUUACCCAAGCAGUGAUUUUGGUCAACACACAACUCCUGUCCUGAUGUUGCCAUCACAGAGGAAAAUGUCCAGUUAUGCAGCCUCUGGACUAAACAGCCACCAGCCCAAUGGAGACGACCUCAUCUUGUCUGCUAGGUAGUUCUCUUAGAAAGACUGGCAGAACUGAAAAAGAGGACUGAUGAAAUAAAACUGCCUUUUGACAAAUCAUUC